CUCACUAGGACUAUCCUGGCCAAGAUUUUGUUAAAUUGAAAUACGACUGUACACAGCUCCUGAACUAGAGUGGUCAAUCCCAUCUUGACACGUGCACCGACAAGUCAAGUACUUGACUACACCUAGCAUCCUUCCAUCACUGAAUUAGAAAUUCAGGUAGUCCAGUGCCUAAGUGCAGUGAGUUGCUUGCAAGUCACCAUGGCGGUCUCAGAUCGGAGGGACAUUUAUACCCAUAUCCCAUC
rnacentral:lncRNA from 1 species